GCCGGAAUGAUGAAAUGGUAGACAUAGAGGCCUCAAAAGCCUUGGCUCGCAAGAGCGUGUGGGUUCGAAUCCCACUUCCGGCACCG
rnacentral:tRNA from 2 species